rnacentral:lncRNA from 1 species
GUGACAUGAGGUGCCACACACAGGUACAGGGCUGAGGUGACAUGAGGUGCCACACACAGGUACAGGGCUGAGGUGACAUGAGGUGCCACACACACAGGUUUGGGGCUGAGGCAGCAUGGACACAGUUACUUGUAUUUAAGUUGUCAGCCCCGCAAUUCCUUGCUGAUCUCUUAACUGGGAAGCAGCUCACAUGUGAAUUAGAAAGACCCAGGCUCUCCAGGUGGCAGGGUCUGACCAAAGUGAGGCGCCACCAGGCAGCCCAACCCACUUACAGCCAACAUCACCAACUCCAUGACAAGCCAAAGGAGAGAGGAGCAGGUACACAGCCCCACAGAAAAGGUUUGAUCACCAGAGAGAAGCAAGUGUGCCUUGCGGAGUUCCCUUCGCAUGAGGACACUAAUGUAGUCUAAGAGGUUGCCAGUUUCUUGUGAUAAGUUCGCAAACUUACCAUGGUUUGUCUCCCCUAUAUGUUUUUAAAGAUGUGCUUGAAUUGUUUAGAAUAUCGGAAGUGCUAUGCAGUAACGUUUCCCUCCUACUUUUCCUGUUGGCUCUUUGGAAAGCAAUAGGCACUGAGGUUUUUCCUGGGCUGACCCUCAUCCUUUCCUGCUUUGCACAGCAACUCGGAUUCUCUUGUGCUGCUUCCAUGGUGUCUCCCAUCACUUUCCCCAUUUGCAGAUUACUCAGGGCCCGUGUGAAGAGAAUCACGGUUAAUGUUCUGAACCUCU